rnacentral:lncRNA from 1 species
GAUCCUACCAUGGCCACAGCUCUGCUGGAAUUCCAGAGAAUCCCACUGUGACCACAGCUCUGCUGGAAUUCCAGAGGAUCCCACCAUGAUCACAGUUGUGCUGGAAUUCCAGAGGAUCUCACCAUGAUCACAGCUCUACUGGAAUUCCAGAGGAUCCCACUGUGACCACAGCUGUGCUGGAAUUCCAGAGGAUCCCACCAUGAUCACAGUUGUGCUGCAAAAGCUUCUGGAGGAACCCUCCAUGAACACAGCCACCCUUCCUGGGUACAGCCACCCCUCCUGGGUCACAGCCACCCUUCCUGGGCCCAGCCACCCUUCCUGGGCACAGCCACUCCUCCUGGGCCCAGCCACCCUUCCUGGGGUGCUCCACGGCCCGGGGAUGAGGACACCCUCACACCCUCAGCUCCAGAGUUGUUUCCCACACCCUGGGUGAGAACAGAGGCCAGAGAAGGUCUCUGGUUCAUCCCUUUGAGGCUCCACGAGCUGCUGAUCCACUGAAGGGGAACUGGGACUGCUGGAAAACAAGGAGGGGAGGAAAUUCUAUUCCUGCAGCCCCCCAAGCUUCCCCUCAUUCUGAGUCUGUGCUUCCUGACCCCAACUCCCAGAUGCUUUCCAGGAAAUUAAAUAACAAACCAGCUCUCCCAACCACAGAAUCAGGGAAUCCCAGACUGGUUUGGGCUGGAAGGGACUUUAAAGCUCACCCAGUGCCAUGGCAGGGCCACCUUCCACUGUUCCAGGCUGCUCCAAGCCUCCCCAGCCUGGCCUUGCCAGGGCUGGGGUGGUUUCCCAGGGCUGGCAUGGUUUCCCAGGGCUGGCAUGGUUCCCCAGGGCCAGCUCGCUCUGGGGGAUGCCCUGGGACACCCCUGGCUGUGGGGGCACCUGUGGGCAGCCCUGAGCCCACAGCAUGGAAGGGACUCCUCCAACACUUUCCCCUGCUCCCUCCUGCCAGGCUGGGCACAGCCUGGGCCUGGCUGCUGCCAGGCGAGGGAGCUCAGUCCUCGGAGCAAGCUACAGCCUGGGCUGGGGGAGAAGGGACAAAGGUCCUGGAGGGACAGAACAGGGUGCUAUGGGGCACAGAACAGGUGUUAUGGGGCACGGAACAGGGUGCUAUGGGGCACAGAACAGGUGUUAUGGGGCACAG